GAUGAACGCUGGCGGCGUGCUUAACACAUGCAAGUCGAACGAGAAAUGUAGACGGAAACCUUCGGGCGGAAGCCUUCAUUUCGAGUGGCGGACGGGUGAGUAACGCGUGGGUAACCUGCCUCAUACAGGGGGAUAACAGUUGGGAACGACUGUUAAUACCGCAUAAGACCACAGCAUCGCAUGAUGCGGGGGUAAAAACUCCGGUGGUAUGAGAUGGACCCGCGUUCGAUUAGCCAGUUGGCGGGGUAACGGCCCACCAAAGCGACGAUCGAUAGCCGAUCUGAGAGGAUGACCGGCCACAUUGGGACUGAGACACGGCCCAAACUCCUACGGGAAGCAGCAGUGGGGAAUAUUGCACAAUGGGGGAAACCCUGAUGCAGCGACGCCGCGUGAGUGAAGAAGUACUUCGGUAUGUAAAGCUCUAUCAGCAGGGAAGAAAAUGACGGUACCUGAGUAAGAAGCCCCGGCUAACUACGUG
rnacentral:rRNA from 1 species